GCAUGUGGAGUCAAAGGGAAGGGGAGCGUCCGGUUUGAAUCAACCAAUGGGGAAGGCCACACGCUUUGGCAUCUUGGAAUCUAAUACAAAGAUGCUGAUCACUUUACAGCCUGGAACAGCUGGAGACGCGCUACUACUCUUCCGUCAACGGUCUGAUCAAGAUAAGGUUGUAACAAAGGUGAACUUCCACGUUAACUUCACCCGGGUAACUUAGGUCGAUCCCGUCGCCCUAAAGGUACGUCCACUCGUACGGCCUCGUCUGUACGGACUGUCCCGACCAUAAUCCUCUCAACUCUUCUAUCCUUCCUCCAUACUUCAUGUCUUUACUCUGAUGCCU
rnacentral:lncRNA from 1 species